rnacentral:rRNA from 1 species
UACGGGGGGGGCAAGCGUUGUUCGGAAUUACUGGGCGUAAAGGGCUCGUAGGUGGCCAACUAAGUCAGACGUGAAAUCCCUCGGCUUAACCGGGGAACUGCGUCUGAUACUGGACGGCUUGAGUUUGGGAGAGGGAAGCGGAAUUCCAGGUGUAGCGGUGAAAUGCGUAGAUAUCUGGAGGAACACCAGUUGCGAAGGCGGCUCACUGGACCGUUGUUGACGCUGAGGUGCGAAAGCGUGGGGAGCAAACAGG